rnacentral:rRNA from 1 species
CCAGUAGUCAUAUGCUUGUCUCAAAGAUUAAGCCAUGCAUGUAUAAGUUCACACCUUCAUACGGUGAAACCGCGAAUGGCUCAUUAAAUCAGCUAUGGUUCCUUAGAUCUUACUUCCAUUACUUGGAAUAACUGUAGAAAUUCUAGAGCUAAUACAUGCCAAACAGUCCUGAGACGAAUAAUUUCAGGACGGAUUUAUUAGAACAAAACCAACCGGUCUUUGACUGUUUGUUUGAUGACUCUGGAUAACUUUUCUGAUCGCAUGGCCUUGCGCCAGCGACGUAUCUUUCAAGUGUCUGCCCUAUCAACUAUCGAUGGUAGGUGAUAUGCCUACCAUGGUUAUAACGGGUAACGGGGAAUCAGGGUUCGAUUCCGGAGAGGGAGCCUUAGAAAUGGCUACCACAUCUAAGGAAGGCAGCAGGCGCGCAAAUUACCCACUCUCAGCUCGAGGAGGUAGUGACGAAAAAUAACAAUACGGGACUCUCAUGAGGCCCCGUAAUUGGAAUGAGUACAAUUUAAAUCGUUUAACGAGUACCAAUUGGAGGGCAAGUCUGGUGCCAGCAGCCGCGGUAACUCCAGCUCCAAUAGCGUAUAUUAAAGUUGCUGCAGUUAAAAAGCUCGUAGUUGGAUCUCAGGCCAGGAGCUGGUGGUCUACUUUAUUGUAUGACUGUCAGUUCCGCCUAAUCAGCCGUUAGUUGUUUCUCCUGCCCUUCACCGGGUGCGUGAAACGCUCGGCACGUUUACUUUGAACAAAUUAGAGUGCUCAAAGCAGGCCUUGUGCUUGAAUAUUUAUGCAUGGAAUAAUGGAAUAGGACUUCGUUUCUAUUUUGUUGGUUUUCGGUUACGAAGUAAUGAUUAAAAGAGACAGACGGGGGCAUCUGUAUGGUGGUGUUAGAGGUGAAAUUCGAUGAUCGCCGCCAGACAAACAACUGCGAAAGCAUUUGCCAAGGAUGUUUUCAUUAAUCAAGAACGAAAGUUAGAGGUUCGAAGACGAUCAGAUACCGUCCUAGUUCUAACCAUAAACGAUGCCAACUGACAAUCGGGGUUUCUAUCACAAAUUUACCCCGGCAGUCCCUGGGAAACCUUUAAGUCUACAGGUUCUGGGGGAAGUAUGGUUGCAAGGCUGAAACUUAAAGGAAUUGACGGAAGGGCACCACCAGGAGUGGAGCCUGCGGCUUAAUUUGACUCAACACGGGAAAACUCACCCGGCCCGGACACUGUGAGGAUUGACAGAUUGAUAGCUCUUUCUUGAUUCAGUGGGUGGUGGUGCAUGGCCGUUCUUAGUUGGUGGAGUGAUUUGUCUGGUUAAUUCCGAUAACGAACGAGACUCUAGCCUGCUAAAUAGUUCACACAUAUUUUGUAGUGUUUGUGAACUUCUUAGAGGGAUUGGCAACUUUUAGUUGCACGAAAUUGAGCAAUAACAGGUCUGUGAUGCCCUUAGAUGUUCGGGGCCGCACGCGCGCUACACUGACGAUAUCAGAGAGUUUUAUCCUUGGCUGAAAAGUCCGGGAAAUCUUUAGAAUUAUCGUCAUGUCAGGGAUUGGGGUUUGUAAUUAUCCCCCAUGAACGAGGAAUUCCCAGUAAGCGCAAGUCAUAAACUUGCGCUGAUUACGUCCCUGCCCUUUGUACACACCGCCCGUCGCUACUACCGAUUGAAUGGUUUGGUGAGGCCUUUGGAUUGGGGCUAGUGAAGUGUUUAUACUCUUUGCUUAUCUCGAGAAAAUCGUCAAACUUGAUCAUUUAGAGGAAGUAAAAGUCGUAAC